rnacentral:tRNA from 1 species
AGGGGCGUAGUUUAAUGGUAGAACGGAGGUCUCCAAAACCUUUGGUGGGAGUUCGAUUCUCUCCGCCCCUGC